UAAGCUUCCUGGCCUGUUAGCUAAGAUCAAGUGUAGUAUCUGUUCUUAUCAGUUUAAAUACCAUAUAAGAUUAUAUAUAAUGGUGUCAACUAGUUGGUGAUAAUUCCUUAUAGUUACAUAGUGCCUUAUCACUAAUAUAAGUAUUUCACAAAUACUCAAAUACUGUUU
rfam:Gorilla gorilla gorilla genomic chromosome, chr6, whole genome shotgun sequence